AUUGAACGCUGGCGGCAGGCCUAACACAUGCAAGUCGAGCGGAGCGGCGGACGGGUGAGUAAUGCCUAGGAAUCUGCCUGGUAGUGGGGGAUAACGUCCGGAAACGGGAGCUAAUACCGCAUACUAUCAGAUGAGCCUAGGUCGGAUUAGCUAGUUGGUGGGGUAAAGGCCUACCAAGGCGACGAUCCGUAACUGGUCUGAGAGGAUGAUCAGUCACACUGGAACUGAGCAACGGUCCAGACUCCUACGGGAGGCAGCAGUGGGGAUUAUUGGAAAAUGGUCGAAAGACUGCUGCAGCCAGGCCGCGUGUGUGAAGAAGGCCUUCGGGUUGUAAAGCACUUUCAGCGGGGAGGCGUUACCCGCAGAAGAAACACCGGCUAACGCCGUGCCAGCCGCCGCGGUAAUAC
rnacentral:rRNA from 1 species